UGGGGAAUAUUGGGCAAUGGGCGAAAGCCUGACCCAGCGACGCCGCGUGAGGGAAGAAGAUUUUCGGAUUGUAAACCUUAGUCAACAGGGACGAAGAAAGUGACGGUACCUGUGGAGGAAGCCACGGCUAACUACGUGCCAGCAGCCGCGGUAAUACGUAGGUGGCGAGCGUUAUCCGGAAUUACUGGGUGUAAAGGGUGUGUAGGCGGGUUCGCAAGUCAGAUGUGAAAACUAUGGGCUCAACCCAUAGCCUGCAUUUGAAACUGCGGAUCUUGAGAGUGGGAGAGGUAAACGGAAUUCCCGGUGUAGCGGUGAAAUGCGUAGAUAUCGGGAGGAACAUCGGUGGCGAAGGCGGUUUACUGGACCAUUACUGACGCUGAGACACGAAAGCGUGGGGAGCAAACAGG
rnacentral:rRNA from 2 species